rnacentral:rRNA from 1 species
GAGGAAUAUUGGUCAAUGGGCGGAAGCCUGAACCAGCCAUGUCGCGUGCAGGACUACGGCCCUACGGGUCUCAAACUGCUUUUAUGCGGGGAUAAAGUCGGCCACGAGUGGCCGAUUGCAGGUACCGCAUGAAUAAGGAUCGGCUAACUCCGUGCCAGCAGCCGCGGUAAUACGGGGGAUCCGAGCGUUAUCCGGAUUUAUUGGGUUUAAAGGGUGCGUAGGCGGCCUGUCAAGUCGGCGGUGAAACCCCCGGGCUCAACCCGGGGACUGCCGUCGAAACUGGCGGGCUAGAGUACGUUGGGAGUGCGCGGAAUGUGUGGUGUCGCGGUGAAAUGCAUAGAUAUCACACAGAACACCGAUCGCGUAGGCAGCGCACUACGCCGCAACUGACGCUGAGGCACGAAGGCGCGGGGAUCGAAC